rnacentral:rRNA from 1 species
ACGGUCCUAAGGUAGCGAAAUUCCUUGUCGGGUAAGUUCCGACCCGCACGAAAGGUGUAACGACUUGCGCACUGUCUCAACGAGGGACCCGGUGAAAUUGAAGUACCUGUGAAGAUGCAGGUUACCCGCGACUGGACAGAAAGACCCCAUGGAGCUUUACUGCAACCUAAGAUUGAACUUAGUUAAUGAAUGUACAGGAUAGGUGGGAGACGGAGAACCUAGGACGCCAGUUUUAGGGGAGUCGCUGUUGGGAUACCACCCUUUCAUUAAUUGAUUUCUAACGGGCCGAGUAACGACCGGCCGGACAGUCUUAGGCGGGCAGUUUGACUGGGGCGGUCGCCUCCAAAAGAGUAACGGAGGCGCCCAAAGGUUCCCUCAGAGCGGACGGAAAUCGCUCGAAGAGUGUAAAGGCAGAAGGGAGCUUGACUGCGAGACGGACAGGUCGAGCAGGGACGAAAGUCGGGCUUAGUGAUCCGGUGGUGCCGAGUGGAAGGGCCAUCGCUCAACGGAUAAAAGCUACCCUGGGGAUAACAGGCUAAUCUCUCCCAAGAGUUCAUAUCGACGGGGAGGUUUGGCACCUCGAUGUCGGCUCAUCACAUCCUGGGGCUGGAGUAGGUCCCAAGGGUUGGGCUGUUCGCCCAUUAAAGUGGUACGCGAGCUGGGUUCAGAACGUCGUGAGACAGUUCGGUCCCUAUCCGUCGCAGGCGUAGGAAAUUUGAGAAGACCUGUCCUUAGUACGAGAGGACCGGGAUGGACGUACCUCUGGUGUACCAGUUGUUCUGCCAAGGGCAUGGCUGGGUAGCUAUGUACGGAAUGGAUAAGCGCUGAAAGCAUCUAAGCGCGAAGCCAACUUCAAGAUAAGAUUUCCCACCGUAAGGGUAAGACCCCAGGAAGACUACCUGGUUGAUAGGUCGAAGGUGUAAGUGCAGUAAUGUAUUUAGCUUAUCGAUACUAAUAGGUCGAGGACUUGACCAA